GGGCAUUUGGUCGAGUCUGGUUUAUGGCCUUCGUCUUGAAAACGAAUACUUUACAAAAAGUCGUGAGUUCAAAUCUCACAGUGCCCG
rnacentral:tRNA from 1 species